rnacentral:rRNA from 1 species
UACGUAGGUGGCAAGCGUUAUCCGGAUUUACUGGGUGUAAAGGGCGUGUAGGCGGGACUGCAAGUCAGAUGUGAAAACCACGGGCUCAACCUGUGGCCUGCAUUUGAAACUGUAGUUCUUGAGUACUGGAGAGGCAGACGGAAUUCCUAGUGUAGCGGUGAAAUGCGUAGAUAUCGAGAGGAACACUCGUGGCGAAGGCGGGUUCCUGGACAUUAACUGACGCUGAGGCACGAAGGCCAGGGGAGCGAAAGGG